rnacentral:rRNA from 1 species
CCUACGGGAGGCAGCAGUGAGGAAUAUUGGUCAAUGGUCGGGAGACUGAACCAGCCAAGCCGCGUGAGGGAUGAAGGUACAGAGUAUCGUAAACCUCUUUUGUCAGGGAACAAAGGCGGGGACGUGUCCCCGGAUGAGUGUACCUGAAGAAAAAGCAUCGGCUAACUCCGUGCCAGCAGCCGCGGUAAUACGGAGGAUGCGAGCGUUAUCCGGAUUUAUUGGGUUUAAAGGGUGCGCGGGCGGUCUGUUAAGUCAGCGGUCAAAGCCCGGGGCUCAACCCCGGCCCGCCGUUGAAACUGGCAGUCUCGAGUUGGAGAGAGGUAUGCGGAAUGCGCGGUGUAGCGGUGAAAUGCAUAGAUAUCGAGCAGAACUCCGAUUGCGAAGGCAGCAUGCCGGCUCCACACUGACGCUGAGGCACGAAAGCGUGGGUAGCGAACAGGAUUAGAUACCCCAGUAGUC